rnacentral:rRNA from 1 species
AGUGAACGCUGGCGGUAGGCCUAACACAUGCAAGUCGAACGGCAGCACAGUAAGAGCUUGCUCUUACGGGUGGCGAGUGGCGGACGGGUGAGGAAUACAUCGGAAUCUACUUUUUCGUGGGGGAUAACGUAGGGAGACUUACGCUAAUACCGCAUACGACCUACGGGUGAAAGCAGGGGAUCUUCGGACCUUGCGCGAUUGAAUGAGCCGAUGUCGGAUUAGCUAGUUGGCGGGGUAAAGGCCCACCAAGGCGACGAUCCGUAGCUGGUCUGAGAGGAUGAUCAGCCACACUGGAACUGAGACACGGUCCAGACUCCUACGGGAGGCAGCAGUGGGGAAUAUUGGACAAAGGGCGCAAGCCUGAUCCAGACAUACCGCGUGGGUGAAGAAGGCCUUCGGGUUGUAAAGCCCUUUUGUUGGGAAAGAAAAGCAGCAGGUUAAUACCCCGCUGUUCUGACGGUACCCAAAGAAUAAGCACCGGCUAACUUCGUG